rnacentral:rRNA from 1 species
AUUGAACGCUGGCGGCAGGCCUAACACAUGCAAGUCGAGCGGAGGAAGGGAGCUUGCUCCUGGAUUCAGCGGCGGACGGGUGAGUAAUGCCUAGGAAUCUGCCUGGUAGUGGGGGAUAACGUCCGGAAACGGGCGCUAAUACCGCAUACGUCCUGAGGGAGAAAGUGGGGGAUCUUCGGACCUCACGCUAUCAGAUGAGCCUAGGUCGGAUUAGCUAGUUGGUAGGGUAAAGGCCUACCAAGGCGACGAUCCGUAACUGGUCUGAGAGGAUGAUCAGUCACACUGGAACUGAGACACGGUCCAGACUCCUACGGGAGGCAGCAGUGGGGAAUAUUGGACAAUGGGCGAAAGCCUGAUCCAGCCAUGCCGCGUGUGUGAAGAAGGUCUUCGGAUUGUAAAGCACUUUAAGUUGGGAGGAAGGGCAGUAAGUUAAUACCUUGCUGUUUUGACGGUACCAACAGAAUAAGCACCGGCUAACUUCGUG